rnacentral:rRNA from 1 species
UACAGAGGUCCCAAGCGUCGUUCGGAUUCAUUGGGCAUAAAGGGUGCGUAGGCGGCGCGGUAAGUCGGGUGUGAAAUUUCGGAGCUUAACUCCGAAACUGCAUUCGAUACUGCGGUGCUUGAGGACUGGAGAGGAGACUGGAAUUCAUGGUGUAGCAGUGAAAUGCGUAGAGAUCAUGAGGAAGACCAGUGGCGAAGGCGGGUCUCUGGACAGUUCCUGACACUGAGACACGAAGGCCAGGGGAGCAAACGGG